CUUGGUGAGACCUUCCAUCUCAGGACAAGAAAAGCCCAGGGAACAAGAAGUGACAAGGACUUGGAUGCCCUCGUAGGAGAUAUGUACAUCAAGACACAGGAAAUAAACCCAGCAAAGAUUCAGGAGCCGGCACACCAGUGACACGCUUAGAGGUCUUGCCCACUGAGUUCCCAACCAUGGAGGAAGAAGUAUUGUGCUUGUGCAGGUUCCCAGACCAUGGCACGGAACCAUCCACACUGGUGGGAGAGACGGUUGGGAAGGUCAAGAUGUCAUGAUGCUUCCGAAUCCAAUGGUGCCACUGUAGAGCCCUCGGCAGGGCGAAAGGGAGCCCCUGGCAGACUCUGAGGCCCUGCUAGUUGGAUUUCCUUCCCAGACCCCGGGGAAGGGCGGUAGGGCUGGAGGGCCACUGAUGGACGACAGCAGCCAAGGGGGGCACUUUCCGUUAGCCCUGCCUUUAAGAUGACGAGAUUUGGGACUGGCUCUGAGCUUUGAAGACCUGUCUGAGAGUCUGUGUGAAAUCCUGCCUGAGUCCCUGUCGGGGAACUCAGCCUCUCUGGUGGCAUUACAGGAGAGUGGCAUGGGUAUCUCAGGCUUGGCCAGGUAAAGCAAAGUUGUAUAGGGGAUCUGACGCUGGCUGGUUGUCUGCCAAGGAGACCCUCAAUUCUGAGUGGCCCAUGGUCACUGGCCCUGGGAAUUUCUUCAGCAUGGCUGCUGACUACAUCAAGCAAGAACCUGUUCCUAAGACAGAGCUUAUAUGAUACAUAGUGAUCAUGAAGUAUGGAGGGACACUGUCACCUUUCCAGGUUUACUAAUGAGUGACAGGUUCUGCUAACAUAUAUGGGAGGGGAUAGUACAGGGGUAUGAAUACCAGGGGCCUGGGUUGCUGAGUGACCCUCAAGCCUUUACAUCAUAUCUGACAAGGUUAGCAGUGAGUGCUCUCAGUACCAGGUACUCACGGUCCCUGCGUUUUGUGAACUUUCUCACCUGACCCACAGAAUAACCCAAGAAGAGCAGUAACUGCCCUCACUGUACCAAUGGAGGAAUGUGAGGUCAAGGAUCCUGGUAGGGGUUCAACAGGGGAAGGCAGGAGCACUGUGGAAUUGGUCAUAGACACCAUGUGAUCCAACACCCAGGGUUGCCAGUGAAGACAAACCUCAGAAGACUCUCAGGACAUGCCCUGGCCCUGUUCCACUUUGCCAGGACACGUGACAACACUGGGUCAUGCAGGUGACUCCAGGACAAGCUCUCUGUGGUAAAGCCAACAGGCAUCAGACCCUGGAUCAUCCGAAGUCUAACUUAGCGCUCAGGCUGGUGUCUGACAUAUUCUUGAUUCACUGGAACGAGGACUGAAUACUGUCAGUCCCAGCAGUCCUCUGAGGAUGGUUUUAGGAACUCCAUCCUGCAGGAGGGAGGGGCCUGAGAGUGUGUGACACCUGCUCAAAUAACAGUGUCAGAGCCAGGAUUUUGGAUUCUGAGGCCCGAGUUUUUGUUUCGUUGUUUUGUUUUCUCACCAGCGGCCGCCCACCUAGCCACCUGGCAGGCAUUUGGGGGAGAUUCGGAAAUGUUUCCUCUUUGCUGCCAUCCUGUCUAGUAUCUGUGAAACACCCAUCACUCACCAGCUGCAGACAUUCUCCAGAAAGCUUCAGAACACCCUCGCAAAGGUGUCUGCUAUUGCCCCCAUUUUACAGAUGUGGAAGCAGGUUGAAGGAGGCUUCCUAGUAACUGACUGAGCUGCUUCCCGAGCCUCCUGCCAGCACCAUGGAGUGAAGAGCAGUCUGGCCCAGGAUGCUGAGUUGGAUCCACUUAGACAUUCUGCAUCCCUGUCCCUCCAUCCUUGCUGUACAGUGGUCUGCCUUCCUGCUCACAACCAGGCUCGGCAGGAAAAGCAGCCUACUCCUCCAGUUUCCCUGCUUCCUAAACAUUGCUGAUGCCCGAAGGCUGCUCUCAGCUCUUCUCCUGGAGGUUACCACACUGAAUGGAUAGACGUGCCGGCUUUUAGUGAGCAACACAGGCCUUGAUGCCAGUAAAACACGAGGCAUGAUGGAAAGGGACUGGCCAUUGCUUUGGUUUGCAGACAGAGAUCCCAUCAUCUGCAGGAGGAUUUGAGUGUGAUGAAGCCAUUCAUAGGAAGAUCUAGAUGAAGAACAUCCCAUGCUCAGUGAGCAGGAAGUACAAAGGCCCUGGGGUUAGAGAGAACUUUUCCGACUCCAGGAACCAGAGGAGGCUGGCCUUAGCGGUGACAACAGGCAGGAUCUUGGUGACACUUUCUAUUUCCCGGUCAGGAGUCCUUCCAACAUGAAGAUCUAACUCUGAUGGUCUUGGAGACCACAGACCUUCCCUAGCCUGGUCUGGGAGGGAUGCCUGGCAAAUGCUUUCUGGGCUAACGUGAGUUAUUUGAGCACUCGAGUCGCUAGCAGAAGCACUGCGUUAGCGAGUCCCCUUUGUUUGAACAAACAAGAUUAGAAGCAUUGCACUGUUUGUUCUUCCUGGUGAGGCUCUAGCAAAUCCACACUUUGUGGGACUUCUGGCCUCUGGAGGGCCCCUCAGUGUUUUCUAAAAGCAUAGCCCGUGAGAGUUAAAAUUUGAAUAGAUAUCUCUCAAGAGCUGGUCCUGUAUUCCUGUAUUACCUUGAGACAAAUGUUUGUUAAUAUAUAUAUAUAUAUAUAUAUGUAUUCUAGUUGCUAGAAUACAUGUUGUAAAUACUUGCGUUUGAAAAUGUACACUUCCGGGAUGCUUUGUGGGUUCCUGUGCAUGUUCACGUACGACUAGAAAUCUGUUUGUCACAGAUGCUUCCCAGGUCUGGUGGUUGUUUUCUCUAUCCUAAUUAAUCUAUUGAUGUAGAAUUAUGCAUCUUUCCCCAUAAGCCGGGAGUGUAUUUAAAAGCUCAUUUCCUUGCCUGAGAUACAUGCAAA
rnacentral:lncRNA from 1 species